rnacentral:rRNA from 1 species
AUUGAACGCUGGCGGCAGGCUUAACACAUGCAAGUCGAGCGGAGAUGAGGUGCUUGCACCUUAUCUUAGCGGCGGACGGGUGAGUAAUGCUUAGGAAUCUGCCAUUUAGUGGGGGACAACAUUCCGAAAGGAAUGCUAAUACCGCAUACGUCCUACGGGCGAAAGCAGGGGAUCUUCGGACCUUGCGCUAAAUGAUGAGCCUAAGUCGGAUUAGCUAGUUGGUGGGGUAAAGGCCUACCAAGGCGACGAUCUGUAGCGGGUCUGAGAGGAUGAUCCGCCACACUGGGACUGAGACACGGCCCAGACUCCUACGGGAGGCAGUAGUGGGGAAUAUUGGACAAUGGGCGGAAGCCUGAUCCAGCCAUGCCGCGUGUGUGAAGAAGGCCUUUUGGUUGUAAAGCACUUUAAGCGAGGAGGAGGCUACCUGGAUUAAUACUCUAGGAUAGUGGACGUUACUCGCAGAAUAAGCACCGGCUAACUCUGUGCCAGCCGCCGCCGUAAUAC